UAAGGAAUAUUGGUCAAUGGACGCAAGUCUGAACCAGCCAUGCCGCGUGAAGGAUGAAGGUCCUCUGGAUUGUAAACUUCUUUUAUCUGGGACGAAAACGGGAUUUUUAUCUCAAUUGACGGUACCAGAGGAAUAAGCACCGGCUAACUCCGUGCCAGCAGCCGCGGUAAUACGGAGGGUGCGAGCGUUAUCCGGAUUUACUGGGUUUAAAGGGUGCGUAGGUGGGCUUAUAAGUCAGUGGUGAAAUCUCCGAGCUUAACUUGGAAACUGCCGUUGAUACUAUAGGUCUUGAAUUAUCUGGAGGUAAGCGGAAUAUGUCAUGUAGCGGUGAAAUGCUUAGAUAUGACAUAGAACACCAAUAGCGAAGGCAGCUUACUACAUAUAAAUUGACGCUGAGGCACGAAAGCGUGGGG
rnacentral:rRNA from 1 species